GGGGAUGUAGCCUAGUGGUAGAGCACUUGCCUAACAUGCAUGAUGCCCUGGGUUCGAUCCCUAGUACCA
rnacentral:tRNA from 1 species